rnacentral:rRNA from 1 species
AAACUGGGAUUAGAUACCCCACUAUGCUUAGCCCUAAACACAGAUAAUUACAUAAACAAAAUUAUUCGCCAGAGUACUACUAGCAACAGCUUAAAACUCAAAGGACUUGGCGGUGCUUUAUAUCCUUCUAGAGGAGCCUGUUCUAUAAUCGAUAAACCCCGAUAAACCUCACCAAUUCUUGCUAAUACAGUCUAUAUACCGCCAUCUUCAGCAAACCCUAAAAAGGAAAAAAAGUAAGCGUAAUUAUGAUACAUAAAAACGUUAGGUCAAGGUGUAACCUAUGAAAUGGGAAGAAAUGGGCUACAUUCUCUACACUAAGAGAAUCAAGCACGAAAGUUAUUAUGAAACCAAUAACCAAAGGAGGAUUUAGCAGUAAACUAAGAAUAGAGUGCUUAGUUGAAUUAGGCCAUGAAGCACGCACACACCGCCCGUCCCACUCCUCAA